ACGACCCGCCCCGCGGUGCUCUCAAACCUUCUGAUUUUUAUCCCGUGAUAAAUAAUUGAUCCCCGCCGGAGCCGAGGAGAAACGGGUCGCACUAGUACCCGCACGACAGCUUCUUCACACGAGCAGGGCAUCGCUACCAUCCAACCCUCCCAGCCAGCCAUCUCCACUAUUGAUCAGCGGCUGGAUUCCAACGCUGCAGUGGCUCUAGAGUAGAACAACGCGAGCCCAGACCCAACACAGUGACGGCUCGGACACCACUUAUGGUCAAGAGGCCAGAGAGCCAGUGGAGAAAUUCUGAAGUUCUGAGCCAGACCUUCCCCUCACCCCAAGAAGGUGGAAGGGAAUCCGUACACACAUAACGUAGCUCGUCUGCAAGCCUUCUGUGCCAAAUAUCGCCUGCCUGGCUCCCCUCUUACCUGUGCACCAGUGAAAGUGACCAAGCACACUCUUACACUCCGCACUGAUGGAUAUGUUUGCUUUAGCCAAUCAGCAAAGGGAUUUUGCUGGCAUGCAUGUUUUAUUCAUUGUU
ensembl:lncRNA